rnacentral:rRNA from 1 species
GAUGAACGCUGGCGGCGUGCCUAAUACAUGCAAGUCGAGCGAACAGACGAGGAGCUUGCUCCUCUGACGUUAGCGGCGGACGGGUGAGUAAUACGUGGAUAACCUACCUAUAAGACUGGGAUAACUUCGGGAAACCGGAGCUAAUACCGGAUAAUAUAUUGAACCGCAUGGUUCAAUAGUGAAAGACGGUUUUGCUGUCACUUAUAGAUGGAUCCGCGCCGCAUUAGCUAGUUGGUAAGGUAACGGCUUACCAAGGCGACGAUGCGUAGCCGACCUGAGAGGGUGAUCGGCCACACUGGAACUGAGACACGGUCCAGACUCCUACGGGAGGCAGCAGUAGGGAAUCUUCCGCAAUGGGCGAAAGCUUGACGGAGCAACGCCGCGUGAGUGAUGAAGGUCUUCGGAUCGUAAAACUCUGUUAUUAGGGAAGAACAAAUGUGUAAGUAACUAUGCACGUCUUGACGGUACCUAAUCAGAAAGCCACGGCUAACUACGUG